GAGUACGACCGCAAGGUUGAAACUCAAAGGAAUUGACGGGGGCCCGCACAAGCGGUGGAGCAUGUGGUUUAAUUCGAAGCAACGCGAAGAACCUUACCAGGUCUUGACAUCCUUUGACCACUCUAGAGAUAGAGCUUUCCCUUCGGGGACAAAGUGACAGGUGGUGCAUGGUUGUCGUCAGCUCGUGUCGUGAGAUGUUGGGUUAAGUCCCGCAACGAGCGCAACCCUUAUUGUUAGUUGCCAUCAUUUAGUUGGGCACUCUAGCGAGACUGCCGGUGACAAACCGGAGGAAGGUGGGGAUGACGUCAAAUCAUCAUGCCCCUUAUGACCUGGGCUACACACGUGCUACAAUGGGAAGUACAACGAGUCGCUAGACCGCGAGGUCAUGCAAAUCUCUUAAAGCUUCUCUCAGUUCGGAUUGCAGGCUGCAACUCGCCUGCAUGAAGCCGGAAUCGCUAGUAAUCGCGGAUCAGCACGCCGCGGUGAAUACGUUCCCGGGCCUUGUACACACCGCCCGUCACACCACGAGAGUUUGUAACACCCGAAGUCGGUGAGGUAACCUUUUUGGAGCCAGCCGCCUAAGGUGGGAUAGAUGAUUGGGGUGAAGUCGUAACAAGGUAGCCGUAUCGGAAGGUGCGGCUGGAUCACCUCCUUUCUAAGGAA
rnacentral:rRNA from 1 species